rnacentral:rRNA from 1 species
ACCUGCGGAAGGAUCAUUGUCGUGACCCUGACCAAAACAGACCGCGAACGCGUCAUCAAUCCUGCUGGGUGACGGACCUUGGACCGUCUCGUGGCAUGGGCCCUUGUCCUUCCUACGGAGGGUCGGGGGUCCCCAAAAGAACCCACGGCGCCGGAUGGCGUCAAGGAACACUAAUGUUGCUUGUUCGGGGCUGCGGACGGCUUGCUGAACGCACCCUGUGCUGCGAUGCUACCUAAAUCCAUAAGACUCUCGGCAACGGAUAUCUUGGCUCUCGCAUCGAUGAAGAACGUAGCAAAAUGCGAUACCUGGUGUGAAUUGCAGAAUCCCGUGAACCAUCGAGUUUUUGAACGCAAGUUGCGCCCGAUGCCUCUUGGUUGAGGGCACGUCUGCCUGGGCGUCACGCCAAAAGACACUCCCAACCCUCCCUGGAACGGGACGUGGCGUAUGGCCUUCCGUGCCACUCGAAUGAUGCGGUAGGCUAAAGUAUAGGCUGCUGGCUAUGGUGCCAGUCACAUCACAUGGUGGAUGACAGAUGUUGUUCUCAGAGUUGUGAUUUGUACCGCCUUCGGCGACAAUAUGGCCGUUAAGACCCAAGCACCGAAGCGUGGACCGCUCGGACCGCGACCCCAGGUCAGUCGGGAUUUCCCGCUGAAUUUAAGCAUAUCAAUAAG